GAUGAAGAACGUAGCGAAAUGCGAUAAGUAAUGUGAAUUGCAGAAUUCAGCGAAUCAUCGAAUCUUUGAACGCACAUUGCGCCCCCCGGCAUUCCGGGGGGCAUGCCUGUCCGAGCGUCAUUGCACCCCUCGAGCCCGCGCGGGUUUCGGUGUUGGGCCGCCGUCCCCCGGGGGGGGGGACGGGCCCGAAAGGCAGUGGCGGCCCCGGGGCGACUUCCCGCGCGAUCGCAGCACCUCGCGGCCGAAGCGUUCGCCCCGCGGGCCCGCCUAGACCACCAGUGUGACGUACCGGUUGACCUCGGAUCAGGCAGGGAUACCCGCUGAACUUAAGCAUAUCAAUAAGCGGAGGA
rnacentral:misc_RNA from 1 species